UACAGAGGGGGCAAGCGUUAUUCGGAAUCAUUGGGCGUAAAGCGCGUGUAGGCGGUUCGGUAAGUCGGCUGUGAAAGUCCAGGGCUCAACCCUGGGAUGCCGGUCGAUACUGCCGGACUAGAGUUCGGAAGAGGCGAGUGGAAUUCCCGGUGUAGCGGUGAAAUGCGCAGAUAUCGGGAGGAACACCAAUGGCGAAGGCAGCUCGCUGGGACGUUACUGACGCUGAGACGCGAAAGCGUGGGGAGCAAACAGG
rnacentral:rRNA from 1 species